rnacentral:rRNA from 1 species
GAUGAACGCUGGCGGCGUGCCUAAUACAUGCAAGUCGAACGAGGUGCCUUUGUAGCAAUACGGAGGUAUCCUAGUGGCGAACGGGUGAGUAACGCGUUGGUGACCUACCCCGAAGUCUGGGAUAACAGUUCGAAAGGACUGCUAAUACCGGAUGUGGUCAUCGGAUUUAGAAACCGAUGUCUAAAGGAUUUAUUCGCUUCGGGAGGGGCCUGCGUCCCAUCAGCUAGUUGGUAGGGUAAUGGCCUACCAAGGCGACGACGGGUAGGGGACCUGAGAGGGUGACCCCCCACAAUGGAACUGAAACACGGUCCAUACACCUACGGGUGGCAGCAGUAGGGAAUAUUGCACAAUGGGCGAAAGCCUGAUGCAGCAACGCCGCGUGUGCGAAGAAGGCCUUCGGGUCGUAAAGCACUUUUCUGGGAGAUGAGAAAGGACA